rnacentral:rRNA from 1 species
UGCAGUCGAGCGCUCUCUUCGGAGGGAGCGGCGGACGGGUUAGUAACGCGUGGGAACGUACCCAGAUCUAAGGAAUAGCCACUGGAAACGGUGAGUAAUACCUUAUACGCCCUUCGGGGGAAAGAUUUAUCGGAUUUGGAUCGGCCCGCGUUAGAUUAGAUAGUUGGUGGGGUAACGGCCUACCAAGUCUACGAUCUAUAGCUGGUUUUAGAGGAUGAUCAGCAACACUGGGACUGAGACACGGCCCAGACUCCUACGGGAGGCAGCAGUGGGGAAUCUUGGACAAUGGGCGCAAGCCUGAUCCAGCCAUGCCGCGUGAGUGAUGAAGGCCUUAGGGUCGUAAAGCUCUUUCGCCUGUGAAGAUAAUGACGGUAGCAGGUAAAGAAACCCCGGCUAACUCCGUGCCAGCAGCCGCGGUAAUACGGAGGGGGUUAGCGUUGUUCGGAAUUACUGGGCGUAAAGCGCACGUAGGCGGAUUGGAAAGUAUGGGGUGAAAUCCCAGGGCUCAACCCUGGAACUGCCUCAUAAACUCCCAGUCUUGAGUUCGAGAGAGGUGAGUGGAAUUCCGAGUGUAGAGGUGAAAUUCGUAGAUAUUCGGAGGAACACCAGUG